rnacentral:rRNA from 1 species
GAUGAACGCUGGCGGCGUGCCUAAUACAUGCAAGUAGAACGCUGAAGCUUGGUGCUUGCACCGAGCGGAUGAGUUGCGAACGGGUGAGUAACGCGUAGGUAACCUGCCUCUUAGCGGGGGAUAACUAUUGGAAACGAUAGCUAAUACCGCAUAAAAGACGAUAUCGCAUGAUAUUGAUUUGAAAGGUGCAAAUGCAUCACUAAGAGAUGGACCUGCGUUGUAUUAGCUAGUUGGUGAGGUAACGGCUCACCAAGGCAAUGAUACAUAGCCGACCUGAGAGGGUGAUCGGCCACACUGGGACUGAGACACGGCCCAGACUCCUACGGGAGGCAGCAGUAGGGAAUCUUCGGCAAUGGGGGCAACCCUGACCGAGCAACGCCGCGUGAGUGAAGAAGGUUUUCGGAUCGUAAAGCUCUGUUGUAAGAGAAGAACGAGUGUGAGAGUGGAAAGUUCACACUGUGACGGUAACUUACCAGAAAGGGACGGCUAACUACGUGCCAGCAGCCGCGGUAAUACGUAGGUCCCGAGCGUUAUCCGGAUUUAUUGGGCGUAAAGCGAGCGCAGGCGGUUAGAUAAGUCUGAAGUUAAAGGCUGUGGCUUAACCAUAGUACGCUUUGGAAACUGUUUAACUUGAGUGCAGAAGGGGAGAGUGGAAUUCCAUGUGUAGCGGUGAAAUGCGUAGAUAUAUGGAGGAACACCGGUGGCGAAAGCGGCUCUCUGGUCUGUAACUGACGCUGAGGCUCGAAAGCGUGGGGAGCAAACAGG